AGGACGAACGCUGGCGGCGUGCUUAACACAUGCAAGUCGAACGAACCUUCGGGUUAGUGGCGAACGGGUGAGUAACACGUGGGCAACCUGCCUCGAGCUCUGGGAUAACACCGGGAAACCGGUGCUAAUACCGGAUAUGAACAGAGAAGGCAUCUUCUCUGUUGGAAAGUUUUUCGGCUCGGAGAUGGGCCCGCGGCCUAUCAGCUUGUUGGUGGGGUAACGGCCUACCAAGGCGACGACGGGUAACC
rnacentral:rRNA from 1 species